GAAAUUUUUAAUGGGCAGGGACUGGAGGACUGCGUUUGCUCAGGAUUGCCUGGGAAACCAGGAACGAAGCAACUACGUGAAGAUCCCUAGAAGAACAGGAUUCUGUCCUGCUUUCUGCUCCUCGGCUGGGGCGUGCUCAUGUGGUUCACCUGCGCCUCCUCCAGGGGCUUCUCCUAACUGUUAAGAUCUAACACCUUCCUCCACCGGACCCGGCCUUCUAGAACUGAAACUCCAGGCCAACCGGUAGCUUGAGAGUGCACCGCCUCCGCGGUGGACAGCCCUCUCCCCGGCUAGCCUAAAUAAACCCAAAACUGAGCAAGCUCAGCAGGCAGAUGCACCUUCACGGCGCAACGGACCGAUCUCCUCUGUGGCACUAGGGGCUCCCAGCCCCUGAGAAGUAACUCAACCCUUCUCUUGAACAACGCAGGAGGCCAGCAGCAUCUGCAGCACCUGGAAUUCCCUAAGAAGGCAAAGGAGGGGCGUGGGUUCAGGAUUACAAGUUAGCCGAGAUCAGCCUCAGCUACCGCUCCACUAACCCCAAAGGAAAGAAACUUCCCAGGCAUGACCUGCCGGUCAAACAAGACCUUCAGAUGAUUCCUAUGCCCUGUGAUAUGUAAGAAACACCGGACGUCUGCCCCGCGAUGCAAGGCUUGUUUCUCCAUGGAGAAUCAGGAAAUGUACCCCAGACACCCAGAGUUGAGAUGGAUACAGCUGAAAAGAGAUGUGGUAGGCCAGAAAGAACCAACAGCUACUGUUCAGAGCCAAGGAUGGAAAACAAGGGGUGUGGAUUUUACUCUGUCUUUUCUUGGAUGGUUCAUCUGCAUGAUGUCUUAUGAAUUUGGUAAUAAGGAAAAGUCCACAAACUGACUUCAAGAGAAAAGCUGUCCUAGGCCAACUCUUCUCACUUCAGGGCUGGAGUCACCAUGAAAGUGGCAGGGCACAUCAGAAGCAAGGAUUCCAGAACAGUCAAUAAUCAGGCAGCAGGUAGAGUGCUCCAAGCCAAGUGCGUAUGGUCUCUUCUUCCCUUGCAGUAGUGGGUUCUGCAUGCAAAGCUUUGAACACACCUGGCAGGUGCCUGGCACUGAGCCAACUGCUUUUGCCAUCCAGGACAUGGGAAUGGCUACAUCAAGACGGACUUUGCGCCCAGAUAACAGCUAGCUUUGAUUCUACUCGGCCAAUUGUCUGGAGUGUAGCACUGGGCAAAUUUACUCAACUUCCCUGAUAAUAAGCUUCCUCUUAUGUAAAUUGGGUUAUGAAAAUACCUACUUUAUUGACAGUUGAGAGAAUUAAAUAGUUUCUGGUGAGUGCCUGAUGUCCCAUAGAUUAAAAAAAGAAAGAAAGAAAAAGAAAACGAAAAGAAAAGAAAACAAUGAGGUUUUUUUUCUUCAUCUCUUUUUUGUGGUAGUCUGAAUAGGAAGGUGGGGUGUGAUUAAUCUUAUUUUACAUCUAAACCAUAGGUCAGAAUGCUGUGCCUUUAACUACAGGGCUUCGGCUCGGGGUCUUUCCCUUUCUGAAGAGAGUUCUAGUGGCUGUUUGUGCAGUGCUCACUGAGAACCAGUGCUUUCCAUGAGUGAAGGAACUAAAAUCCUCAAACCACCUUCUUGCUUUAUAGAUGAGAGCUCCGAGGUGCCAUGGGCUGGCAUAACUGAGCGAGGAGUACAUGGCAGAAUGAGAGCUGACAUGCCUAAUUCCAGCACCCACACUUCAUCAUGACUAACUGUCAAACGAAGACCUCCACCAGAGAACUCUUGUUUCAUGGCUUUCUCCCCUGACUAAGCUGUAAGGUCCCCAGGAUCAGGGACUGAAUCUUACUCUCCAGUGCAGGCCUGGUCCUCUAUGUAGGCUCAGGGAAGUAUUUAAGUGAAUAGGUGGUGCCAUCUUCUGCUUCACAGCACGUGGUCAGGCUCCCACCUCCCUAUGCUAAUGGGCAACAGAAAAGCACAAGGCUGUUGCUAGACUUCUGUGUUUCAGUGCAUGGGCUUAUGGCAAUUCGUCCAAGCUGAUGGGGCCUUUUGCUGAGACCAGUGCUAAACAACCAGGCUAUUAGGCACAUUUAUCACCUCUGUAGCGGCUUCUUCCCACAACCACUAGCCAUUAACUCUAAAUCUAGUGUGUGCCUGUAUUUCAGCUUCCUAGCUACCAUGAGCCUGGAUAGCUCUUUGGUCUGGACCAAUGAGAACCAAAGCCAGGGAGUUUUCAGCAAAGGGGAGCUUUUUCUACCAAUGACAAAAGCUGUGGGCAGUUGCACUACAGUAUCUGAAAAUAAGUCAGGCCUAGUGGCACACACCUUUAAUCCCAGCACUCCUCAGGAGACAGAGGCAGAGGCAGGUGGAUUUCUAGGAUCAGUCUGGUCUAUAUAUAGUAAGUCCCAUGACAGCCAGGACUAUAGAGAGAGUGUGUCUUGAAAGAACAAACAAAGAAACAAAGAAGAGCCAUCUCAAAGGAAAACAGAGGAGGGACCUGGAGAGAGGCAAGCCCUUGAUGACGCUGUUUGGUCUUAGAAUCCAGCCUGAAAUCCAACUGAGGUCUGGCUUUCUCGGCAACACAAACCAAACUCCUCCUUCUCGUCUAUCCAGUGGGAAAGGUCUUUCCCAUCUACCUUCUCUUCCAAGAACAAAGUUUUUCUUCUCUGGAAGUGUAAUUGCCUGGUAGCAGACUAUCCAUGGGGUGAGAGCCACCAUGGAGACAGAGUCCAGCUGGCCCUUCCUAGGAUACCGGCUCAUGACAGCACAUGCUCAAACACUACCAGCACAUAAUUACACACUUGCUACUGUUUGUAGUCGGGACUGUUUUUAUCUUCUUAGCACCUUGACUUGGCAAUAGACUCCAUUCCUCCCAUAAGGAAAGGUCAUGACCCUGACUGGGUUAAUCACAGGGCCAAACACCAUUGGCCACUGUUAUUGAUCCAAAAGGACACAAGCAUUGCAGUAGAAACCACAGACAGCACUUUCUUUGGGAUUUGCUAGGCCCAAACUGGGGUGCCAUUGGGAUGCAAUGGUAGAAGUCUGGAGCUAUAAUCUAUCAUGUCCCAAAAGUACAAGAGAAAAAAACAGUAAAUCUGAAGAUCUGCUUAUUGUCUGCUGAUGUCCAUUCUCCUUAAUAUCAGAAACUUCUUCCUAGUCCAGGUCACAGUGAGGCCCCAUCUAAACACGCACACACACCCGUCCCAAGACACUUGUGAACCUGCACUCCUAGGGGAGUGUUAUGGCUAGUCGUAGUUGUUAACUUGACUACCUCAGGAAUUAACUAAAACCUAAAUGUCUGGGCACAUCUGUGAGGGAUUUUUUUUUUCUUAAUUAAACUAUUUGUAGUGAUAAGACCCAUUUCUAAUAUGGAUCACUGAGGUGAGAAGAUCUACCUUUAAUCUAAGCCACACUUUCUGCUGGCAGCUUUUAUAAAGGACACGGAAACAAGGAGGCUUGCUCUCUUUUUGUCUGCUUGCUCUCACUCUCGCUGGCAAGUCCAUUCCUUCACUGGUAUUAGAGCCUACAUCUUUAGGAUUCCAGCAUAUACUGAAGACCAGCUGAGACAGCCAGCCUCACAGACUGGACAACUGCUGGAUUCUUGAACCUUCUGUUAGUAGACAGCCAUUUUUUAACUACCUGGACCAUAGGAGCUCCAGUUGAGCAAAUGCCUCCAUGAAAUCCAGCUGUAUGGUAUUUUCUCAUUUAGUGAUCAAGGGGGGAGGGCGGAGCCCAUUGUGGGUGGGGCCACCCCUGAGCUGGUGGUCCAGGGUUCUAUAAGAAAGCAGGCUGAGCAAGCCACGGGGAGAAAGCCAAUAAGCAGCACCCCUCCAUGGCCUCUGCAUCAGCUCCUGCCUCCAGGUUCCUGCCCUGAUUGAGUUCCUGUCCUGACUUCCUUUGUUGAUAAACAGCAAUAUGGAAGUGUAAGAUGAAUAAACCCUUUCCUCCCCAACUUGUUUUUUUGGUCAUGGUGUUUUCUAGCAGCAGCAGAAACCCUGACUAAAACAUCUAACAAAUGCCCAUCCAUAAAGACCACCAGAAGCAAUUUGCUUUCAAUUGCCAAAGCCUGCAGAAUACCUUCAGUUUUACCUCAAGGAAAUAGUAACUCUCCAGCCCUAAGUCAUAACACAGCUUGAAGGGAUCUUGAUCCUCUGUGUCUUCCACAAAAUAUCACAUUGGUUCAUUAUAUUGACAACAUCAUGCUGACUAGACCAAUAGACAGGAAGAAGCAACCAUUUUGGACUCGUUGGUAACACAUGAAAAAAUGACAAAUGACAAACAGAAAGCAUUCUGAAUUGGAUUAGAGUCAAGUGCACUCAGGUUUUCCUGCCAACCCCACCAAGCUGGACAUCAAGGAGGCCCCUGCUGGGUCUUGCCCUUCAGUGCUGAACUGUUUGGCCACUGUCUGAGAGAACUCAAUGGACCAAGCCCUUCACCUCUAAACCGAGGACUCUGAGCAGAACCAGUUAGGGGCACUGGCAAUGCCGCUUCCUCGGGCUGUGUCCACAGGAUGACUUAAAAAGCCUCUCAUGCAAAUGUGAGGCUGACCUCAAGUACAAAUAUUUUAGUCUGAAGCAUGGGAGUGUUAACAAAUUCCACACAGGACAAAUGCAUCUAGGCUAGAGAGCAAGGCUCACGGACACUCAUUUUUGGUGAAGUAAUCCUUGAGUCAAGGAAUGAGGACCUGACUAAGCCAUCCGCACUGAAGACCUAAACCUGGGAUUUUGCAGAAGCACAGUCUGCAGUGUAGGGUCCCCUCUUUAAUGAAUGAGCCUAAACCAGGAUGUUUUACGUCUUUUAUUAGCUACUAUAGGACAACUAAGGCCACCUUAAAACAACAGAUACCACUUAUUUUUACUGACUUUAUUUUUGUUGUUUUGAAGCAGGGUCUCAUGUAGCCCACCAGGCAAGUGUGAGCUCACUAUGUAGCUCCUAUUCCUCCUGCCUCUACCUCCCAGGUACGAGGAUGGGUAUACGUCACCACAGCCUGUCUCUUCCUCAUGUUCUAACCACCAAUAGGAACCUGGGCCUGAAAUCACACUUUCCCCAGGGCACAAGAAAUUGUGGUUAUUGGUCCCAUCUUAGCAGCAGGAAAGUGGCCUGUCAUCUGUGUGGACUGUGUAGCCUGGGGAUAGGACAGGGUUCUGAGCAGUACUUGGGUCAUGUGACUCCAUGCUGGGAGGGUGCUGUUGCUCUGUAGGCCCAAGCCAGGCAGGUUCCAACCAUCUGCAGAACCACAGGGCUAGAGUGUCAGGAACAGACCUUUCUGUCCUCCUCAGACGAUGGUAUGGCAACUGUUGACAGAUUAGGUGUGUAGGAUAUUUUGGCUGCAUAUGUCUUUACCACAUAUAUGUCUGGUGACCAUGGAAGCCAGAAACCCAUCAGAUCCUCUGGAACUGGAGUAAUAGAUGGUCGUAGGGCCAUGUGAGUGCUGGGAACUGAACCUGGGUCCUCUGGAAGAGCAACCAGCAUGCUUAACCACUGAGCCAUCUCUCUAGCCUUAUUAAAUUCUUAAAUGCUCAGAGCCAUGGAAAAUUGA